rnacentral:tRNA from 1 species
GCCCCUGUAGCUCAGUGGACAGAGCAACUGCCUUCUAAGCAGUGGGUCGCAGGUUCGAACCCUGCCAGGGGUACCA